CUGUCGUCAGCUCGUGUCGUGAGAUGUUGGGUUAAGUCCCGCAACGAGCGCAACCCUCAUCCUUAGUUACCAUCAGGUAAUGCUGGGGACUUUAAGGAAACUGCCAGUGAUAAACUGGAGGAAGGUGGGGAUGAUGUCAAGUCAUCAUGGCCUUUAUGGAGUGGGCUACACACGUGCUACAAUGGUGUCUACAAUGGGCUGCAAGGUGCGCAGGCCUAACCUAAUCCCUAAAAGACAUCUCAGUUCGGAUUGUACUCUGCAACUCGAGUGCAUGAAGUUGGAAUCGCUAGUAAUCGUGGAUCAGCACGCCACGGUGAAUACGUUCUCGGGUCUUGUACACACUGCCCGUCACGCCAUGGGAAUUGA
rnacentral:rRNA from 1 species